GAUGAACGCUAGCGGCAGGCUUAAUACAUGCAAGUCGUGGGGCAGCAGGUUUGUAGCAAUACAGAUGCUGGCGACCGGCAAACGGGUGCGGAACACGUACAGAACCUUCCUUUGAGCGGGGAUAGCCCAGAGAAUUUGGAUUAAUACCCCAUAGUAUAAUGAAGUGGCAUCACUUUAUUAUUAAAGAUUUAUCACUCGAAGAUGGCUGUGCGGCUGAUUAGGUAGUUGGCGGGGUAAAGGCCCACCAAGCCUGCGAUCAGUAACUGGUGUGAGAGCACGACCAGUCACACGGGCACUGAGACACGGGCCCGACUCCUACGGGAGGCAGCAGUAAGGAAUAUUGGUCAAUGGAGGCAACUCUGAACCAGCCAUGCCGCGUGGAGGAUGAAGGUCCUCUGGAUUGUAAACUUCUUUUAUAUGGGACGAAAAAGGCUUUUCUAAGUCGUCUGACGGUACCAUAUGAAUAAGCACCGGCUAACUCCGUGCCAGC
rnacentral:rRNA from 1 species